rnacentral:rRNA from 1 species
GAUGAACGCUGGCGGCGUGCCUAAUACAUGCAAGUCGAGCGAACAGACGAGGAGCUUGCUCCUCUGACGUUAGCGGCGGACGGGUGAGUAACACGUGGAUAACCUACCUAUAAGACUGGGAUAACUUCGGGAAACCGGAGCUAAUACCGGAUAAUAUAUUGAACCGCAUGGUUCAAUAGUGAAAGACGGUUUUGCUGUCACUUAUAGAUGGAUCCGCGCCGCAUUAGCUAGUUGGUAAGGUAACGGCUUACCAAGGCAACGAUGCGUAGCCGACCUGAGAGGGGGAUGGGCCACACUGGAACUGAGACACGGUCCAGACUCCUACGGGAGGCAGCAGUAGGGAAUCUUCCGCAAUGGGCGAAAGCCUGACGGAGCAACGCCGCGUGAGUGAUGAAGGUCUUCGGAUCGUAAAACUCUGUUAUUAGGGAAGAACAAAUGUGUAAGUAACUAUGCACGUCUUGACGGUACCUAAUCAGAAAGCCACGGCUAACUACGUG